CAGUGUAUAAGUUUGUGAUUUGUUACUUUUUGCCAAAAUUUUGCUGCGGCUUAUAAAAUUGCAGUGAAAACGAUCAAUGUUUUGGAAGGACGCCGAGUGAGAUCAUCUAAAGCUAUGUUCAGUCGAUAUCCAUCACUACAAGUCGGCAGAUUAUGAAAUUUUUCAUUAAACUACAUGAAAUGAGUAAGGAGUGGACAACGGAAAUUAUAAAAAAAAUUGCAUAGAUAUGAGAAAGCAAACAUCAUCUGCGAAUUUUAGGAAAUGAAAAGGAUUGGUAAAGGUCUGAACAAUGAAAUGACAAGAAGAGAACAUCGAGACAUUGCUUUAAAAAACGACGUGACAGGAGUACAACUGUACAAGAAAGAUUUGAAUUUGGAAUGCGCAGGCGCAG